rnacentral:lncRNA from 1 species
CAGUGGCUCACACCUGUAAUCUCAGCACUUUGAGAGGCUGAGGCGGGUGGAUCACGAGGUCAAGAGAUCGAGACCAUCCUGGCCAACAUGGUGAAACCUCAUCUCUACUAAAACUAUAAAAAUUAGCUGGGCAUGAUGGCACAUGCCUUUAGUCCCAACUACUUGGGAGGCUAAGGCAGGAAGAUUGCUUGAACCCCGGCAGCGGCAGAGAUUGCAGUGAGCCGAGAUGGCUCCACUGCAGCCUGGCUACAGAGCAAGAUUCAGUCUAAAAAAAAAAAAAUAAGUCAAAAGGUGAAACUGCACACUUGUCUUUUAAGUCGCCAGCUUGACUCUCUUCCAAGUGUACUUUACUUCCUUUCAUUUUUGCCCUAAGCAUUUCAACAAACCUUCACUCCUGCUCUAAAACUUGCCUUGGUCUCUUCUUCUGCCUUAUGCCCUUCAGUUGAAUUCUUUCUUCUGAGGCGGCAAGAGUUGAUUUUGCUGAUGUAUUUUGGUGCCCUGCGACUCGGAUAACUUUCACCGCUAACAUGUUGGCACUGCAUGACUAGGAUACGUGCCCUAGAGGUGACCAUGUUGCCCAGAGACCACAUGUUGAAACUCCUGGUUGAAACCAUUUCACCACACUUCCAAUGGAUUAAAGAUGACAGGGCCCAACUGGGUUUGGCUCCCACAGUUAAUAUUCAGCAAAGAGGGUCAUGAGGGCCACGCAGAGAAAGAAAACCCAGAAACCUGGCAUGCCAGACAAAAGGACCCUAGGAACCGCAUGCUUUCCUGGCCUUGUUUCUCAAAGUGCUCCACCCUGAAGCCAGCAAUCCAAUUACUUAAAAACUGG